rnacentral:rRNA from 1 species
AGGAAGAAUUUCUACAUUGAGACUAGUAAGUGUGAAUUAUGUGAUGAUGAACCUAAUGAACAUCUAAUGCAUCUAUUUUUUAGCUGUGAUUUUAGUCAAAACUUCUGGAUGAACAUUGGCUACCAAUGGAACACUGAUCAUAACCUCAUAGAAAUGCUCCUGGAGGGAAGGAAGCAAGAUACACAUGGAUGCUUUAAAGAAUGUCUGAUUGCUGGAUGCUGGAGUCUCUGGAAACACAGAAAUAGCAUAAUUUUUGACAACAAGGUCCAAAAUAUGACAUUUUGUAUUGCCACUUUCAAGGAGCACUUUUGCAUGAUUAUAAAGAAGGCAAAACCAGGAUUGAAAGAGGGCAUGCAAAGCUGGCUAGAUCAUUUGUAG